UACGUAGGGUCCGAGCGUUGUCCGGAAUUAUUGGGCGUAAAGGGCUCGUAGGCGGUUUGUCGCGUCGGGAGUGAAAACACGGGGCUUAACCCCGUGCCUGCUUCCGAUACGGGCAGACUAGAGGUAUGCAGGGGAGAACGGAAUUCCUGGUGUAGCGGUGAAAUGCGCAGAUAUCAGGAGGAACACCGGUGGCGAAGGCGGCAUCCUGGACCGACACUGACGCUGAGGAGCGAAAGCCAGGGGAGCAAACGGG
rnacentral:rRNA from 1 species